UUGAGUGGAAACUGAACAGUGGAGUGAAAACUAAGGCAUGAAAUCAACCAAGAACAAUACAUCGAACCAUAAGCAACACACAAGAUGAAGACAAUAAGUGGAUAAUUAACCGACGAGAUCAAGGUUUAAACAACAGAUUUCCAAAGCCAAGGACGUAAAGUGAAGCUAAAAUCAUGUCAAACAAUUCAGACAACGAUUAACCUAACGCAACAAGAAUCAUUAAAUCUAGAGGGGCUACUAAAAGG
rnacentral:lncRNA from 1 species